rnacentral:rRNA from 1 species
UACGGAGACUGCAAGCGUUAUUCGGAUUCACUGGGCGUAAAGGGUGCGCAGGCGGCCAAGUGUGUGAGGCGUGAAAGCCCGGGGCUUAACCCCGGAAUUGCACCUCAAACUACAUGGCUAGAGCAUUGGAGAGGGUAGCGGAAUUCACGGUGUAGCAGUGAAAUGCGUAGAUAUCGUGAGGAACACCAGAGGCGAAGGCGGCUACCUGGACAAUUGCUGACGCUCAGGCACGAAAGCGUGGGUAGCAAAAGGG